UACGGAGGGGGCAAGCGUUGUUCGGAAUUACUGGGCGUAAAGCGCACGUAGGCGGACUGGUCAGUUGGGGGUGAAAUCCCGAGGCUUAACCUCGGAACUGCCUUCAAUACUGCCAGUCUUGAGAUCGGAAGAGGUGAGUGGAAUUCCUAGUGGUAGAGGUAAAUUCGUAGAUAUUAGGAAGAACACCAGUGGCGAAGGCGGCUCACUGGUCCGAUACUCGACGCUGAGGUGCGAAACGUGGGGAGCGAACAGGAUUAGAUACCCGCGUAGUCC
rnacentral:rRNA from 1 species